UACGUAGGGGGCAAGCGUUGUCCGGAAUUAUUGGGCGUAAAGCGCGCGCAGGCGGUCCUUUAAGUCUGAUGUGAAAGCCCACGGCUCAACCGUGGAAGGUCAUUGGAAACUGGGGGACUUGAGUGCAGAAGAGGAAAGUGGAAUUCCAAGUGUAGCGGUGAAAUGCGUAGAGAUUUGGAGGAACACCAGUGGCGAAGGCGACUUUCUGGUCUGUAACUGACGCUGAGGCGCGAAAGCGUGGGGAGCAAACAGG
rnacentral:rRNA from 1 species